rnacentral:rRNA from 1 species
CCUACGGGAGGCAGCAGUGAGGAAUAUUGGUCAAUGGACGAGAGUCUGAACCAGCCAAGUAGCGUGAAGGAUGACUGCCCUAUGGGUUGUAAACUUCUUUUAUAUGGGAAUAAAAUGUUCCCCGUGUGGGAUUUUGUAUAUACCAUAUGAAUAAGGAUCGGCUAACUCCGUGCCAGCAGCCGCGGUUAUACGGAGGAUCCGAGCGUUAUCCGGAUUUAUUGGGUUUAAAAGGAGAGUAGGUGGUUUGUUAAGUCAGUUGUGAAAGUUUGCGGCUCAACCGUAAAAUUGCAGUUGAAACUGGCAGUCUUGAGUACAGUAGAGGUAGGCGGAAUUCGUGGUGUAGCGGUGAAAUGCUUAGAUAUCACGCAGAACUCCGAUUGCGAAGGCAGUUCACUGGACUGCAACUGACACUGAGGCUCGAAAGUGUGGGUAUCAAACAGGAUUAGAUACCCUAGUAGUC